GGACACGUGCCCGAAGUCUAGGGGCCACUUUGAUAGAGUGGAUUAUGGGGGUUAAAGUCCCCCCGUUUCCU
rnacentral:tRNA from 1 species